rnacentral:rRNA from 1 species
UACGUAGGGGGCAAGCGUUGUCCGGAAUCAUUGGGCGUAAAGAGCGUGUAGGCGGUCCGAUAAGUCGGUUGUGAAAGUCAAGGGCUCAACCCUUGAAUGCCGACCGAUACUGUCGGGCUAGAGUCCGGAAGAGGCGAGUGGAAUUCCUGGUGUAGCGGUGAAAUGCGCAGAUAUCAGGAGGAACACCAAUGGCGAAGGCAGCUCGCUGGGACGGUACUGACGCUGAGACGCGAAAAGCGUGGGGAGCAAACAGG